GAGUCCCCGAGGGAGGCUACGGUAGGAUAUCUUCCCUAGAGACAGGGUCUUGCUCUGUUGCCCAGGCAGGUCUUGAAUUCCUGGGCUCAAGCGAUCCUCCUGCCUCAGCCUCUUGAGUAGUUUACUACAAGAUCUUUUCUGGCCUGAGAAAGGGGGCCUCCCCUGUCUAGAGGGAGAUCGGGCUCUCCCUGUGAGUGGGCCAAGGAGCCUCUUGGAGAGGGUUUCUAGAUUUAGCAAAUAAAAAUACAGGGUACUCGGUUAAAUUUGAACUUGCAUUUCAGAUAAACGACGAAUAACUUUUUAGCAUGAGUAUUUCUCAUGCAAUAUUGGCUACAUACUUACACUUAAAAAAAAUUGUUACCUGAAAUUCAAAUGUAACUGGAUGCCCUGUGUUUUAUCUGGUAAUCCCAGUCUUGGAAGGAAAAGGAUCAAAUACGAACCCCCUAAUUCUCUGAGCCUUCUUGGUCCAGCCUACACAGCUGGAAGCCCAAAGGUGGCGCUCUUGGAGUCUGACCUCCCCUGGCACAGGGUUUGAGAUGGUCUUUACCCAGCUCCACUGGCCCAAAAGUAGCCCAUAGACCCAAAAGGGGCCUAGCACCUCUCCCCAGGGCAUCAGGAUGGGGCCCCAGGUCCCCAACUGGUUGUCCUGUGGACCUCAGGGAAUGACGACGCAGGAGUCAAGAGCCUCGGUUGCAGCUCCCGCUGUGCCGCCCACGACUGGCUCCGGGGUCAGAUGAUCUGCUGGUUCAAAUCCUGACUCAGCCUCCUACUAGCCAGGCCAGUCUCUAGACCCCUCCCAGCCUCCAUGUCCUCACCUGAGAAAACAGGGUCACAAUACCUGCCUUGCCAACGUGAUGAGGACCAGCGGAGAAGGUGAAAGGGCUUAUAUUCCAAAGCCCACAAGGUUGAAGAUGCACACCCGUGACACAGCCUCAGGAUGUCCUGACGACAUGUGCCAAGGUGGUCAUACGUUUUAGGGAGACAUGAGACAUCAAUCAACACAUGUAAGAUGAACAUUGGUUCAGUCUGGAAAAGGCCGGGCAACGCCAAGCAAAUGUGGGACAACUCGCAGCCAGGAGAAAGCUUCCAGGUCACAGUAUUUUUGACUUACCACGUGUUUAUUGGGACGUAACCCCUUCCUAAGAUGAAGAGCAUCUGUAUACAUCCAGAAUCCUGUGGAGCAACUCAUAACCCAUGAGGAAUGGAAGCCGACAGACAGACUCAUCCCCAGGACAGGUGGUUCUCACUACAUCUCAUAAAGCUUCUUAGAAGAUCUUACAGGAUUGAGCAACCAGCCAGCCACAGCAGGGGCCAACUGGAUAACACGUCUUUGCAUAGGCUCUCCCUCUGUCCCUGUCACCCUCCCCUUUUCCUAACCUUGUUCCUUGGGAUUAUGUUUUGAAAUAAAUUAUUCAGAGAAAUGAAGCCAAAGCUGACCCAUUAGCCAAUAGCUAGGUUCUGUGAUGACAGAGCUUCUGGGCUAUAAUCGUUUACUGAGAAGCCAGCGUUCCUGAGGGGAUAAUGGCUCGUUCCAUUCAGCUGCAGCAUAGGAGUGAGGGCAGGGCAUUAGCAGAAGAUAACACCAGAAACGUGCUCUGGGGCCUGUUGAUGACUUUCUGUGCCAAGCACAGACAUUUAGCCUUUAUUCUGUAUGUGAUGGGAAGCCAGUGCCAGUGGUGGGUUUGAGCAGGGAACCAGCAACCAGUGGUGGGUUUGAGCAGGGAACCAGCAAUACUCAAGCUCUGCUUGGAUGGAGGCCAGUCAGGGAGGAGUUAGGGCAGGAGGACCAGUCAGGGAGGAGACUUAGGGCAGGAGGACCAGUCAGGGAGGAGACUUAGGGCAGGAGGACCGGUCAGGGAGGAGACUUAGGGCAGGAGUACUGGUCAGGGAGGAGACUUAGGGCAGGAGGACCGGUCAGGGAGGAGACUUAGGGCAGGAGGACCGGUCAGGGAGGAGACUUAGGGCAGGAGGACCGGUCAGGGAGGAGUUAGGGCUGGAGGACGGGUCAGGGAGGAGACUUAGGGCAGGAGGACCGGUCAGGGAGGAGUUAGGGCUGGAGGACCGGUCAGGGAGGAGUUAGGGCAGGAGGACUGGUCAGGGAGGAGACUUAGGGCAGGAGGACCGGUCAGGGAGGAGACUUAGGGCAGGAGGACCGGUCAGGGAGGAGACUUAGGGCAGGAGGACUGGUCAGGGAGGAGACUUAGGGCAGGAGGACAGGUCAGGGAGGAGUUAGGGCUGGAGGACGGGUCAGGGAGGAGUUAGGGCUGGAGGACCGGUCAGGGAGGAGUUAGGGCAGGAGGACAGGUCAGGGAGGAGUUAGGGGAGGAGGACCGGUCAGGGAGGAGUUAGGGCAGGGGGAUUGGUCAGGGAGGAGUUAGGGCAGGGGGAUUGGUCAGGGAGGAGUUAGGGCAGGAGGACCGGUCAGGGAGGAGUUAGGGCAGGAGGACCGGUCAGGGAGGAGACUUAGGGCAGGAGGACUGGUCAGGGAGGAGUUAGGGCAGGAGGACCGGUCAGGGAGGAGUUAGGGCAGGAGGACCGGUCAGGGAGGAGACUUAGGGCAGGGGGAUUCGUCAGGGAGGAGUUAGGGCAGGAGGACCGGUCAGGGAGGAGUUAGGGCAGGAGGACUGGUCAGGGAGGAGUUAGGGCAGGAGGACAGGUCAGGGAGGAGACUUAGGGCAGGAGGACCGGUCAGGGAGGAGACUUAGGGCAGGAGGACUGGUCAGGGAGGAGUUAGGGCAGGAGGACCGGUCAGGGAGGAGUUAGGGCAGUAGGACCGGUCAGGGAGGAGUUAGGGCUGGAGGACUGGUCAGGGAGGAGUUAGGGCUGGAGGACAGGUCAGGGAGGAGUUAGGGCAGGAGGACGGGUCAGGGAGGAGUUAGGGGAGGAGGACUGGUCAGGGAGGAGUUAGGGCUGGAGGACCGGUCAGGGAGGAGUUAGGGCAGGAGGACCGGUCAGGGAGGAGUUAGGGCUGGAGGACCGGUCAGGGAGGAGUUAGGGCAGGAGGACCGGUCAGGGAGGAGUUAGGGCAGGAGGACCGGUCAGGGAGGAGACUUAGGGCAGGAGGACUGGUCAGGGAGGAGUUAGGGCUGGAGGACCGGUCAGGGAGGAGUUAGGGCAGGAGGACUGGUCAGGGAGGAGUUAGGGCAGGAGGACAGGUCAGGGAGGAGACUUAGGGCAGGAGGACCGGUCAGGGAGGAGACUUAGGGCAGGAGGACUGGUCAGGGAGGAGUUAGGGCAGGAGGACCGGUCAGGGAGGAGUUAGGGCAGUAGGACAGGUCAGGGAGGAGUUAGGGCAGGAGGAUCGGUCAGGGAGGAGUUAGGGCAGGAGGACCGGUCAGGGAGGAGUUAGGGCAGGAGGACCGGUCAGGGAGGAGUUAGGGCAGGAGGACAGGUCAGGGAGGAGACUUAGGGCUGGAGGACUGGUCAGGGAGGAGUUAGGGCAGGAGGACCAGUUAGGAGGCAGUGACUUAGGACUUCAGCAGUGGCACUAGAAAGGGGAUGGAUAUGAACGACAUUGCAAAGUAAAACUAGAGAGACGGCCGGGCACAGUGGCUCACUCCUGUAAUCCCAGCACUUUGGGAGGCCAAGGCGGGUGGAUCAUGAGGUCAGGAGAUCGAGACCAGCCUGGCCAACAUGGUGAAACCCUAUCUCUACUAGAAAAAAAAAAAAAUAGCCAGGCGUGGUGGCGGGCGCCUGUAAUCCCAGCUACUCCAGAGGCUGAGGCAGGAGAAUUUGCUUGAACCAGGGAGUCGGAAGUUGCAGUGAGCUGAGAUCGCACCACUGCACUCCAGCCUGGGCAAUAGAGUGAGACUCCGUCUCAAUAACAAAACAAACAAACAAAAACCUAGAGAGACUUGGCACCUUGCAGAGAGAAGCAAAAGAUGACCCUGAGGUCUGGAGUCCAGGAAGCCAAGGACAGCAAAAGCAUCCACAGAAACAGGAAAAGGGCAGGUGUGGGAGGGAAGGUGAGAGGUUCAUCAGACCUCACAGCCCCUGGCAGCGCCUCCUGGAUCUUUGAAAUCCUGUGCACCCCAGGAGACUCCGGGAGGCCCAUCUGAGCUCACCGGAGACAGGUCUGCCGUCUCUCCUCUCAUCACUGGGGACAGAAAGCCUGAACAUGAGGCCUGGACUACGGGGCUCAGACCAGAAUAUUUCCAGACUUAAGGGCAGUAAUGUGGAGCCCAGGAAGGAAUAUUGAGGACAGAGGGCACAUUACUUAGCUCAAGGGGUGCUGGGUUCUUAUUUUCUACUUUCAAGAAAUGUUUGCUAUAGUCACUGUAACCACCACAAAACAGUGAAUAAUACCAUGAGCCAAAUGUAUGUUUCACAAUUUGUAUGGCUGAUUCUACGCACAUUUAAAUGUGUUUAUGACAAUUGUAGAUUUCGGUUUUCCUCUGG
rnacentral:lncRNA from 1 species